rnacentral:rRNA from 1 species
GAUGAACGCUGGCGGCGUGCCUAAUACAUGCAAGUCGAGCGAACAGACGAGGAGCUUGCUCCUCUGACGUUAGCGGCGGACGGGUGAGUAACACGUGGAUAACCUACCUAUAAGACUGGGAUAACUUCGGGAAACCGGAGCUAAUACCGGAUAAUAUAUUGAACCGCAUGGUUCAAUAGUGAAAGACGGUUUUGCUGUCACUUAUAGAUGGAUCCGCGCCGCAUUAGCUAGUAGGUAAGGUAACUGCUUACCCACGCAACGAUGCGUAGCCGACCUGAGAGCGUCGACCGCCACACUGGAUGUGAGACUCGUCACAGACACCUACGGGAGGCAGCGGUAGGGAAUCCUCCGGAAUGGGGCAAAGGGUAACGUAGCAAAGUCGCGGGAGGGAUGAAGGACCUAGGAUCCGUAAACUAUGUUAGUCGGGGAGUACAAAAGUGCUAGUACCUAGGAACGUCUUGACGGUACCUAAACAGAAAGCCACGGCUAACUCCGUG